UGUGCAACCUUUGUACUUCAUGGACAGUUAGUGCUGAUUCUUGAUUCUUCUCUGAGACCGGCAGCCUCCGAGCCCAGGCAGACAGGCUCCAUCCCCAAGGAGAGUCCUGGGAAGCACCAGAACACAGGCGAGAACUUGAGGGUCAAGCACUGAACUCAGUGAGGAUUUCUCCAACUCGGUGAAGAAGCCGAUUCAUACAGUGGCCGGCUGCAAACCAAGUGAACCAAGAGCUAACUACUCGCGAUGGAAUGGACUAAUGGGGCGGAGUGUAGAAAGAAGAACCGUUUCAGAGAAAACCACAAGGUACACAUCACGAUUCUGGUCCGGGUCGCUGGACUGGGUCCGAUUUCUGCUGGGUUCCUCAGAUAUCUGGCUACAACUCUCCAAACCGAUGUCUCCAGUUUCCCUUCCACAUUUCUGACUUGGAGUCACUACGAACUAAAAAUGCCCUUUUCCCACAGCCCCCACAGUUUGAUGGAUGGCGGACGGCUUGCUGCAAACUGCAGAGAAGUUACCACCAUGGAUCCCCUUGGCACAGCCUCUGCCUGCCUCUGUGAGGAGUCCCCUGGGCACCUGCCGAUGCCAUCGAACCAGGAGGGCCCGCCCCAUGGAGACUGCCAGCCUCACUCCACCACCUGAAGAUGCUGGAGCCCAAAGCCAGACGUGUCCUCAACUGGCUGUUCUCCAAACUGAGACACUGAGUUUAGAAUAGUAACUCUUAACCUUUGGUUUUCUCUUGUUUCCAUAGAAAUGCCUCUCAUGAAAGUUCUGAUUGCUGACACUGUUCGGAGGCCGCGGUGGACAAAGUCUCAGCCGCCGGCCACGCCGCCGCCUCACGCCGCCGCCUCACGCCGGGCCGGGCUGAGCAGUCCUGAUUCAGUCCUGCUCAGCGCACAAGGCUCUCCCGGAACUCGGAGCCGUGUUCACGCCUGGCCCAACAGCUUUCCGGUGCUCACCCUCAACAGAGGACAGCGCUUCCCCUCCGUCAGAAAGGGGGAACUUCGUUUAUUGGAAAAGACGUCAACAAAAACCGCACCUCAGUCUCCUCGGGAAGGGACGGCCCAGGGCGAAAUCUCUAUAAUCACAGCAAAGAUCUGCGACCCUCCAGCCAGAGUCGAUUAGACCAUUACGUAACCGUAGACCAUCUCCUAGCUGGACAAGGGGAGCGCAUGUUACUACGUCACGCUGUGCCCACGUGAAUAACUCAGCAGAAAAUGAAAAUCCAGACUGGGCUGGAAACGUCAACCUGGAAUCUGAUGAUAAUCUAACCAAGUAGUUGAAUUAAUUAAUCAAUCAAUUGAUUGCAUCAGUUAUUCUAGUUUGACAAGGCGUUUACCCUCCUGACAGCAAUGUUCAUAAUCUCUCUCAUGGGCCGUGUCCCCUCCAAAGUCCUGAGUGCUCUCCACCGGCCACUGACUGGCCAGUGAGAAUCAACCUUCAGGUGCCCUUGGAGGAAGGGCGGCCUUAAUCAGUGGGUCCCACUGAUUGGAUGAGCAAAGGGAGCUAAUUGUCAAAGAAAACCCCAAACGAGGCCACUUCCAGUCUGCGUGCUUUGCUGGCAGUCGAUAAAAUAUUCAUGAAGUCUGAA